GACGAACGCUGGCGGCGUGCUUAACGCAUGCAAGUCGAACGGAAAGGCCCUGCUUUUGUGGGGUGCUCGAGUGGCGAACGGGUGAGUAACACGUGAGUAACCUGCCCUUGACUUUGGGAUAACUUCAGGAAACUGGGGCUAAUACCGGAUAGGAGCUCCUGCUGCAUGGUGGGGGUUGGAAAGUUUCGGCGGUUGGGGAUGGACUCGCGGCUUAUCAGCUUGUUGGUGGGGUAGUGGCUUACCAAGGCUUUGACGGGUAGCCGGCCUGAGGGGGUGACCGGCCACAUUGGGACUGAGAUACGGCCCAGACUCCUACGGGAGGCAGCAGUGGGGAAUAUUGCACAAUGGGCGGAAGCCUGAUGCAGCAACGCCGCGUGCGGGAUGACGGCCUUCGGGUUGUAAACCGCUUUCGCCUGUGACGAAGCGUGAGUGGCGGUAAUGGGUAAAGAAGCACCGGCUAACUACGUG
rnacentral:rRNA from 1 species